rnacentral:rRNA from 1 species
UACGUAGGGUGCAAGCGUUGUCCGGAAUUAUUGGGCGUAAAGAGCUCGUAGGCGGUUCGUCGCGUCGGCUGUGAAAACCCGAGGCUCAACCUCGGGCCUGCAGUCGAUACGGGCGGACUGGAGUUCGGCAGGGGAGACUGGAAUUCCUGGUGUAGCGGUGAAAUGCGCAGAUAUCAGGAGGAACACCUGAGGCGAAGGCGGGUUGCUAGGCUGACACUGACGCUGAGGCGCGAAAGCUAGGGUAGCAAACGGG